GGGCCGGUCGUCUAGUGGGAGGAUGCCACCUUCGCACGGUGGUGGUCCCGGGUUCGAAUCCCGGCCGGUCCACCA
rnacentral:tRNA from 2 species